UACGUAGGGGGCUAGCGUUGUCCGGAUUUAUUGGGCGUAAAGAGCGUGUGGGCGGCCAAGCAGGUCCGUUGUGAAAACUGGAGGCUUAACCUCCAGACGUCGACGGAAACCGCGUGGCUAGAGUCCGGAAGAGGAGAGUGGAAUUCCUGGUGUAGCGGUGAAAUGCGCAGAUAUCAGGAAGAACACCAAUGGCGAAGGCAGCUCUCUGGGACGGUACUGACGCUGAGACGCGAAAGCGUGGGGAGCGAACAGG
rnacentral:rRNA from 1 species